UAGGGAAUCUUCGGCAAUGGACGGAAGUCUGACCGAGCAACGCCGCGUGAGUGAAGAAGGUUUUCGGAUCGUAAAGCUCUGUUGUUAGAGAAGAACGUUGGUAGGAGUGGAAAAUCUACCAAGUGACGGUAACUAACCAGAAAGGGACGGCUAACUACGUGCCAGCAGCCGCGGUAAUACGUAGGUCCCGAGCGUUGUCCGGAUUUAUUGGGCGUAAAGCGAGCGCAGGCGGUUCUUUAAGUCUGAAGUUAAAGGCAAUGGCGUAACCAUUGUACGCUUUGGAAACUGGAGGACUUGAAUGCAGAAGAGGAGAGUGGAAUUCCACGUGUAGCGGUGAAAGGCGUAGUUAUAUGGAGGAAAACCAGUGGCGAAAGCGGCUCUCAGGUCUGUAACUGACGCUGAGGCUCGAAAGCGUGGGGAGCAAACAGG
rnacentral:rRNA from 1 species